AUGCUAGACUCAGUCAAUAGAGCAUGAGACACUUAAUCUCAAGGUUGUGGGUUCGAGCCCCACGUUGGGUG